GAGACUUUAUAGAGAGGGGUGUCGAAUUGAACUUAGAAGACAAAAAGCAGAUGGGAUCAGGUAGGAAGAAAAGAUAUUCAUUCAACAAAUAUAAGUACGUUUUAUACUCAGAUAUCAUUUUAGAGACUGUAACAGUCAACAAAACAGACACCAGUGUUCGUUCUAGUGGAGCUUGAUUCUUAUGAGAGGAGACACAAAACUCACAGUAAACUCAACAGACAGGUCAAUGGUCCAGCUUUGUUGAGAGAUGGCAGAGAAAAAGAAAGAGUAGAGCAGGAUAAAGACAUGGCAUGGUAGAAUAAGCAAGAGACUUAGUGGAGACAGAGCAGGAGACAUAUUUCCAGGGGUUGAUGUAGCAAACUGCCACAAGCUCAGAGACUUAAAACAUUACAGAUUUAUUAUUGCACUGUUUUUGAGGUCAAGAGUAUACAAUAGGUGUCAUGGGGCUAAAGUUGAGUGUCGGGAGUCCUGGUUCUUUUGUGAGGCCCUAGGAAAGAAUUGAAUGCUUUGCUUUUUCUAGCUUCUCAAGGGUGCCCACAUUCAUUUGGCUUCUCUCCAUCACCCAACUUCUUGCUUUUGUCCUCACUACUCCUCCUCCUGACUCCCUUGCUGCGUGCCUCUUACAAGAACUCAUGUUGUCACACUGUGUCCACUGGAAUCAUCCAGGGUCAUCCCAUUUGCCGACUUAAUCACGUCUGCCAGACGCCACCUGAUCUGUAAGGUAACAUUCCCACGUCUGGGGAGUAGGACGUGGAUAUCUUUGAGGGCCCAUUCCUCAGCUCUUUGCAGGGUAUCAGCCAUGCGGGCUGAUAAGAUCCCAAGGAGGAAGUGUGCCUGGAACAUGCAAAAGAACACCUGGAAGGAGACCAGUGUCAGAGGAGAGGAAUGAGUGAGACAUUUCAGCUUUCAUUCUGCUGUCACCGGGACCCAUCGGGAUGUUCUGAGGAAAAGUGCAAGAGGAAUCAAACUUCUUAUCUUCACAAGAACAGACUUUAAAAUGAGCAGUCAGGAGGUGACUGCAACAGUCUGAGCUCCCGGUGACCUGCUGGGCCCCUGACAUCUGAACUAGUGAACACCCACCCUCUGGAGACCAUGCAACACUCCGAGACUGUGGACAUGGGUUUCACUCUAAGCACUGAGGUCAACAGACAAACAUGAGAAGUUACCUCGUUACCCAGUGACUUAAGUAAAAUAAAAGGCAAACAAUCGUGCUGAGAAAGCAGAUGUGCACAA